rnacentral:rRNA from 1 species
AGUCGAGGGGCAGCACAAAGAUAGUUUACUAUUUUGGUGGCGACCGGCGCACGGGUGAGUAACGCGUAUGCAACCUACCUUAUACAGGAGUAUAGCCCGAAGAAAUUCGGAUUAAUCCUCCAUAGUAUUUUCUAAUGGCAUCAUUUGGAAAAUUAAAGCUUCGGCGGUAUAAGAUGGGCAUGCGUCCUAUUAGCUAGAUGGUAAGGUAAUGGCUUACCAUGGCAACGAUAGGUAGGGGGCCUGAGAGGGUGAUCCCCCACACUGGUACUGAGACACGGACCAGACUCCUACGGGAGGCAGCAGUGAGGAAUAUUGGGCAAUGGAGGCAACUCUGACCCAGCCAUGCCGCGUGCAGGAAGAAUGCCCUAUGGGUUGUAAACUGCUUUUAUUUAGGAAUAAACCCCUCUACGUGUAGAGGGCUGAAUGUACUAAACGAAUAAGCACCGGCUAACUCCGUGCCAGCAGCCGCGGUAAUACGGAGGGUGCAAGCGUUAUCCGGAAUCAUUGGGUUUAAAGGGUCCGCAGGCGGAUGUAUAAGUCAGUGGUGAAAUCCUGCAGCUUAACUGCAGAACUGCCAUUGAUACUGUACAUCUUGAAUUCGGUCGAAGUGGGCGGAAUGUGUAGUGUAGCGGUGAAAUGCAUAGAUAUUACACAGAACACCGAUAGCGAAGGCAGCUCACUAGGCCUGGAUUGACGCUCAGGGACGAAAGCGUGGGGAUCAAACAGGAUUAGAUACCCUGGUAGUCCACGCUGUAAACGAUGAUUACUCGUUUUCGGCGAUAUACAGUCGGAGACUAAGCGAAAGUGAUAAGUAAUCCACCUGGGGAGUAC